CCUACGGGUGGCUGCAGUAAGGAAUAUUGGUCAAUGGAGGAAACUCUGAACCAGCCAUCCCGCGUGAAGGAUGAAGGGGCUCUGCCUUGUAAACUUCUUUUGUCUGGGGCGAAAAAGCUCGAUUUAUCGAGAACUGACGGUACCAGAAGAAUAAGCACCGGCUAACUCCGUGCCAGCAGCCGCGGUAAUACGGAGGGUGCCGGCGUUAUCCGGAAUCAAUGGGUUGAAGGGGGCUGUAUACGUCAUAGGAGAAAGGCUGGGGCUUAACCAUGGAAUUGCCAUUGAUACUGCAGAGCUUGAAUGAGGUUGAGGUUGGCGGAAUGUGACAUGUAGCGGUGAAAUGCUUAGAGAUGUCAUGGAACACCGAUUGCGAAGGCAGCUGACUGGACCUAUAUUGACGCUGAGGCACGAAAGCGUGGGGAGCGAACAGGAUUAGAUACCCCGGUAGUC
rnacentral:rRNA from 1 species